GGUCAAGUUAUUAAGGGUGCAGGGCGGAUGCCUUGGCACUAGGAGCCGAUGAAGGACGUGAUAAGCUGCGAUAAGCUUCGGGGAGUUGCACGUAAACUUUGAUCCGAAGAUUUCCGAAUGAGGAAACUCACUUAGAGUAAUGUCUAAGUAUCAUUAAGUGAAUACAUAGCUUAAUGAGGGGAACUCAGGGAACUGAAACAUCUAAGUACCUGAAGGAAGAGAAAGAAAUUCGAUUCCGUAAGUAGCGGCGAGCGAACGCGGAUUAGCCCAAACCAAUAAAGUUUUCUUUAUUGGGGUUGCGGACAUAUCAUAACGAAGAGGUAUCGUAAUUGAAGAGGUUUGGAAAGACCCACCACAGAAGGUAAUAGUCCUGUAUGUUAAACGAGAAGACUUCAG
rnacentral:rRNA from 1 species